rnacentral:lncRNA from 1 species
CAGACACGUGGGUAUAUAUUAAAAAUACAAUGCAGCGGUUCAGUAGAGUUGGAGACAUUCAGACUAAUGAGAGAAGAGGGACACAGUCACCAUUAUGCGCGAUUUAAGGGCUGUUCUGUGAAAGAGAGAGAGGACUUUUUAUGUGUAACCCUUAGUAGCAGACAGAUUUCAGCUCCAGAGAAGAUGAGCAGACAAGCUCCUUGAGGGUAUGGAAUGUGUCUCCUCCACUGUUACAUCCUUACAUCUAGGACAGUGUCUGGCAAUGAAGUAAGCCUUAACUAAUGCCUGUUAGAUGGAUAAAUUAAUGUACUCAAGCAUCUGAGGACAGGUUAAACAGUUAGAAUCCUGUCUCAUUUGGAAAUUCUUUGGUUUAUGACGGUAGUUCUCUAGGAAUCAGAAGAAAGAACUCUUCUUGGUGGCUGGAGUGCCCAGGUAAGGCUUUGAGGAAGGGGAAAGAUGGAGCCUCUCUUCUGCAUCAGAUAACAUGACCAGAGAUGUGGGCCUUACAAUGCCAGAGGUGCAGUCUGCAAGACUCACUGAGCCCUUGGAACCACUCUUUAUCUAGAGAUUUCGAGAACAGAAGCUUCCAGUGGAUGAGUGAAGGCAGGAAAACAUCAGCCCAAGCAUUGCACCUGCCAAUUCCUCAACAGCUAUUGAUAUACUAAAGGGCAAAAUGUUCACAAAUUACCCAGCAAGUAUCUUCAUAUGGACCUUUUCGAAGGGAACAUAUUUUGAGAGAACAUAUGCUUUUUGAUGCUCUAUGCUCGAUUGAAUUAGGUAAUAAGCAUUCAGCCCAUCC